rnacentral:rRNA from 1 species
CAGGUGCUGCAUGGCUGUCGUCAGCUCGUGUUGUGAAAUGUUGGGUUAAGUCCCGCAACGAGCGCAACCCUUAUCCUUUGUUGCCAGCGAUUAGGUCGGGAACUCAAAGGAGACUGCCAGUGAUAAACUGGAGGAAGGUGGGGAUGACGUCAAGUCAUCAUGGCCCUUACGACCAGGGCUACACACGUGCUACAAUGGCGCAUACAAAGAGAAGCGACCUCGCGAGAGCAAGCGGACCUCAUAAAGUGCGUCGUAGUCCGGAUUGGAGUCUGCAACUCGACUCCAUGAAGUCGGAAUCGCUAGUAAUCGUGGAUCAGAAUGCCACGGUGAAUACGUUCCCGGGCCUUGUACACACCGCCCGUCACACCAUGGGAGUGGGUUGCAAAAGAAGUAGGUAGCUUAACCUUCGGGAGGGCGCUUACCACUUUGUGAUUCAUGACUGGGGUGAAGUCGUAACAAGGUAACCGUAGGGGAA